rnacentral:rRNA from 1 species
CCUACGGGAUGCAGCAGUCGAGAAUCAUUCACAAUGGGGGAAACCCUGAUGGUGCGACGCCGCGUGGGGGAAUGAAGGUCUUCGGAUUGUAAACCCCUUUCAUGUGGGAGCAAAUUAAAAAGAUAGUACCACAAGAGGAAGAUACGGCGAACUCUGUGCCAGCAGCCGCGGUAAUACAGAGGUCUUAAGCCUUGUUCGGAAUCACUGGGCAUAAAGCGUGCGUAGGUUGUUACGUGAGCCUGGUGGGAAGUGUGCGGCCUCAUCCCGCGGACGACACAUGAAUCUGUGAUGCUAGAGGACAGGAGGGGUAACCGGAAUUCUCGGUGUAGCAGUGAAAUGCGUAGAUAUCGGAAGGAACACGCGUGGCGAAGGCAGGUUACUGGACAUUAACUGACGCUGAGGCACGAAGGCCUGGGGAGCGAAAGGGAUUAGAUACCCCAGUAGUC